rnacentral:rRNA from 1 species
UACGGAGGGUGCAAGCGUUAUCCGGAUUCACUGGGUUUAAAGGGUGCGUAGGAGGGCAGGUAAGUCAGUGGUGAAAUCUCCGAGCUUAACUUGGAAACUGCCGUUGAUACUAUCUGUCUUGAAUAUUGUGGAGGUGAGCGGAAUAUGUUAUGUAGCGGUGAAAUGCUUAGAUAUGACAUAGAACACCAAUUGCGAAGGCAGCUCGCUACACAUAUAUUGACUCUGAGGCACGAAAGCGUGGGGAUCAAACAGG